CGGAACGUGCCCAAUCGUGGGGGAUAACGCAGCGAAAGCUGUGCUAAUACCGCAUACGAUCUACGGAUGAAAGCAGGGGACCGCAAGGCCUUGCGCGAAUGGAGCGGCCGAUGGCAGAUUAGGUAGUUGGUGAGGUAAAGGCUCACCAAGCCUUCGAUCUGUAGCUGGUCUGAGAGGACGACCAGCCACACUGGGACUGAGACACGGCCCAGACUCCUACGGGAGGCAGCAGUGGGGAAUUUUGGACAAUGGGCGAAAGCCUGAUCCAGCAAUGCCGCGUGCAGGAUGAAGGCCUUCGGGUUGUAAACUGCUUUUGUACGGAACGAAACGGUCUUUUCUAAUAAAGAAGGCUAAUGACGGUACCGUAAGAAUAAGCACCGGCUAACUACGUGCCAGCAGCCGCGGUAAUACGUAGGGUGCGAGCGUUAAUCGGAAUUACUGGGCGUAAAGCGUGCGCAGGCGGUUAUGUAAGACAGUUGUGAAAUCCCCGGGCUCAACCUGGGAAUUGCAUCUGUGACUGCAUAGCUAGAGUACGGUAGAGGGGGAUGGAAUUCCGCGU
rnacentral:rRNA from 1 species